UUCUUUUAAUUUUCAAAACCCUCACAUGCUCUCACUCCCCUCUUCUCCCCGAAGACCGGGUUCCCUCAAAGGUCCGCCCUAUCGCCGCCGUGGCCAAUGGCCGGCGUUGCGAUAAAAGGGCUUCUUUAACCCCAUUUUAGAGCACCCCUGAAGGCCACACUGCUGAAAUUCAUACACGUCGUAUGGGGGAGACUCUCCGCCCUUCUUUGGGCAUAUUUCGAUGAGGAGGAAGGCUCCCUGACGUCUCAACCGUGAAAGAUCCCAGGUGAGUUUUCUAUUUCUUUAGUUUUUUGUUUAAAAAAUUGAUUUCUAAUAAAGAUAAAAAGAUAAUAAAAGAGAAAAAAUAGGAAAGAUCGAAAAGAAAACGAGAUGUGGAAAAUAAAAAUCAACCUUUUCUUGUGUUUUUGAUUGCUUAAUAUUCGUGUGUAAAAACUUACAAUGUUUGGUCGCUGGGCUUAUAUAGUCAAAAAAAAAUACACUUGAUUUAAUGUUAUUGCUACUGCCUAUGCCUUUGUUGUUUUCUUGCUUUGUUUCUACUCUUUUUGCUCUGUUGUCUUGCUUUGUUUCCUUUUUUUUUCUGCUUUCUUUUGCAGGCGCACAAUGGGUCAACAGGGCCGUAGGUGGCUGUUUUGGUGUAAGGUCAAUAGAGAAAAUGACCCUCAGGUGAUGUGUACGCCGAGGGCGCACAUGGAGGGGUGUACGGCGCACUCGAGGCACACGAAGAGGGAAAACGACACCUAGGGUUUCUUAGUUUAGCUGAUGGUGUUUAAUUUUUGGGCCAAUCGGGCGUUGUAAUGUUGGGCUUGUAUCUGGAUUAGAUUUUCUUGUAAAUGGACUGUCUGAUUUUGUUUUG
rnacentral:lncRNA from 1 species